CUCUCAGUCGCUGUCUCUCCUGAUCCCCUUUGACCACACAUUCAAACGGAGGGGAAUGGAGGAAGAUGUCCGACUCCAAGAAGAGCACCAUUUUCUGGCGGCGUUAUUUGGGACAGAACACUGGCUGUCUCGGGACGGGCCCAAGGUCACCUUCGCCAGCGCGGGAUGAGAGGAGGCCGUGAGAGUGAAGGAGGCCGAGGCCGUGAGAGUGAAGGAGGCCGUAGGCCCGGACGGACGCAGGAGGAGCGGGCGGGAGUGUGGAACAGGACAGGGUAGUGUCGGCAGAACCGCAGGGGGAGGACGCGGCUUCCCCGGCCCGAGAAGGGCGAGGCUGGGGACGGAAGAGCCUGAGUCCACCGCGUGGAAAUUUAAUUCUAAAGCCCCGGAAUUGUCUGUGAAGGGGAUGCAAAGUAGAAUGUGAAAUGCAAAUCUCUGGAUGGGCAGAAUAUGCAAUUUCACGCUGAUGCCCAACAGAUUCGCCUUCAUGAAUAUUCAAGCAGUGAACAGUUUUUGACAUUU